GCCUCCCUGACCCUCCUCCCUGCGUCCCUAACUCUCAAAAGCUGAUUCAGCUCCAUACAACGGACCGGCUCUCCUCCGACCGCUCCGCACGGGCUGCUGCUCCCGGCGCUGGAUCACCGUCACACCGGUUACGGCAGUCUUGAAGUACAGCAGUCCAAAAGCCCCAAAAAUGCUUUGCUAAAGCUGGUAAAAUGGAACCAAAUCAACUGUUCAAUGGAUUUGGUCCCCUUCAACCAGCUGUAGCUGUGCAUUGAUCACCCCGAUUCAGGAGUGAAAGUGAGCUGCAAACAGCACCAAAUCCCAAAGGAAGAGAAACCAAAGCGCCAAUCCAGGGAUUACUCAGGGGAAAGACACACCUGCAUGAGACCUGGAAGCUGCUUUUCUGCUAUAAAUACAGGUUCACAAAGUAAUCACAAACUGGCAAACUAUUUCCUACGUACAUGUGCCCACCUGGUUUUGUUCUAUAUAUUGUACUAUACGUGCAGUCUUUGAUCCCAAUCUUCACUGCAGCCAUCUUUCAGUAACCUGAAAUAAUGGAAGUCUGCAUGGGACAGGACCGGGCAGCUACUGAGAAUUGCUUCCUCCACGUAUAAAUUAAAUACGCGCAAACAUAUUGUCUGAUACAUGGCUGUUGAAGAGAGGUAAUAUCACAAAGGACACUGUCAAUGAAUAAUGCAUCUGGUAAGUAAUAACAUUGGGUCACCUUUCUACUUUUUGUUUCUUUUAAAAUUGAUGCCAAAAAGUGUGCAAUCUAUAAGUCACCACAACCCUGAAUGAUAAUGAGCUGACCCUGUCAGCAAGUUUCCCUGAGUUGUGAAAAAUAUGGGUAAUAUCAGUCAAACACAGUAUCUUGUUCACCUAGUGUAGCUUAGGGUGUAGGAAAUGUUUUAAAUGGAACUCAACUCACUCGUGAAUUGAAUUGACUGACAGAGCAAGAAACAGAUUGACUUGGUGUGGUACAGUCUCACUGACCCAGAGAAUGUUCUGCUAAUCCUCUUUACUGGCAAUUAUUCUGUUCAUGUUGUACAUUACAAGAGUAAGAGUUCUGUCCAUUUUAUUUUCCUUUUACCAGUCUCUGCCAGCAGUUAUAUUGCAGUUGAAAAUAAUGUAUGUAGGCUCUUUAUAGAGACAUUGUCAUUUUCAUUUUGAUUAUGGUGAGGCCUUGUUCUUUAUUGCCUGUGAUGGAUUUUGUCUUUCUGUUAGGGAGGGGUGGUGGGACAGUUCUUGAAUAAGUAAAGUGGUCAUUCUUUUGCUUAGAUUUUUAAUGUACAAGUCUAAUCAAUAAACCUUCCUCCUGAAGUUCAUAAACUGC